AUGGGAAGAAAAAUUAUGGGAAGGGAUCACCUUGCUUUCUCCAACAGGAAUAAUCUAGGCAGUCGGCUAAUCACCACAACCCGCGAUUUUGAUGUCUCCAAAUCAUGUUGCCCAUCCGCAGAUGAUUCAAUUUAUAAAAUGAGACCUCUUUCUAUUCAUGACUCCAGAAGGCUCUUCCAUAAAAGAAUAUUUCCUGAUGAUAGAGGAUGUCCAAGUGAAUUUGAACAAGUGUCUAAAGACAUAUUGAAGAAAUGUGGUGGAGUACCACUAGCCAUCAUUACUAUUGCUAGUGCUUUGGCUAGUGGCCAGCAGGUGAAAUCAAAGCAUGAGUGGGAUAUUCUGCUCCAGUCUCUUGGCUCCGGACUAACAGAAGAUAACAGUUUGGUUGAGAUGCGAAGAAUACUAUCUUUCAGCUAUUAUAAUCUACCAUCUCAUCUGAAAACUUGUCUAUUGUACCUAUGUAUAUAUCCAGAAGAUAGCAAGAUUGAUAGAGAUAGACUGAUAUGGAAGUGGGUGGCUGAAGGAUUUGUCCACUGUGGAAACCAAGGGACUAGCCUGUUUUUGGUCGGAUUAAACUACUUCAACCAGCUCAUUAAUAGAAGUAUGAUCCAGGCAAUAUAUGAUGGUCUAGGCCAGGUACAUGCUUGCCGUGUACAUGACAUGGUUCUUGAUCUUAUCUGCAACUUGUCAUGUGAAGCAAAGUUUGUUAAUUUAUUGGAUGGUACUGGGGAUAGCAUGUCUUUUCAAGGCAAUGUUCGUCGUUUGUCCCUUCAGAAUAAAAAUGAAGAUCAUCACGGCACACCUCUCAGAAAUUUCAUGGGUAUUUCACGAGUGAGGUCCAUUACUAUCUUUACAUCUGCUAUUAAUAUCAUGCCAGCCCUGUCAAGGUUUGAAGUUCUGCGUGUACUUGAUUUGUCUGACUGUAAUCUGGGAAAAAGUAGCAGCCUGCAACAUAACCUCAAGGGUGUUGGACACCUAAUUCACCUGAGGUACCUUGGUCUAGCAGAUACUGGAAUCAGGAAACUCUCGGCUGAGAUAGGAAACCUGCAGUUUUUGGAGGUAUUGGAUCUUGGAAGCAAUUAUGAGCUAGAUGAAUUGCCUUCCACUGUUUUUAAAUUGAGAAGAUUAUAA
rnacentral:rRNA from 1 species